rnacentral:rRNA from 1 species
AGGACGAACGCUGGCGGCGGGCUUAACACAUGCAAGUCGAACGUGAAACCCCCUUCGGGGGGUGGAAAGUGGCGCACGGGUGAGUAACGCGUAGGCAAUCUACCCUUAGCUGGGGGAUAACCAGGGGAAACCCUGGCUAAUACCGCAUAACGUCGGAGAACCGCAUGGCUCUCCGAUCAAAGCUCAGGCGGCUAAGGAUGAGCCUGCGUCGGAUUAGCUAGUUGGCGGGUAACGCCCACAAGCGACGAUCCGUAGCGGGUCUGAGAGGAUGAUCCG